GAUGAACGCUGGCGGCGUGCCUAAUACAUGCAAGUCGAGCGAACAGACGAGGAGCUUGCUCCUCUGACGUUAGCGGCGGACGGGAGAGUAACACGUGGAUAACCUAUCUAUAAGACUGGGAUAACUUCGGGAAACCGGAGCUAAUACGGGAUAAUAUAUUGAACCGCAUGGUUCAAUAGUGAAAGACGGUUUUGAUGUCACUUAUAGAUGAGUCCGCGACGCAUUAGCUAGUUGGUAAGGUAACGGCUUACCAAGGAAACGAUGCGUAGCCGAGCUGAGAGGGUGAUCGGCCACGCGGGAACUGAGCCACGAUCCCGACUCCUACGGGAGGCAGCAGUAGGGAAUCUUCCACGAUAGGCGGAAGCCUGACGGAACAACGCCGCGUGAGUGAUGAAGAUCUUCGGAUCGUAAUACUCUGUUAUUCGGGAAGAACAAAUGUGUAAGUAACUAUGCACGUCUUGACGGUAACUAAUCAGAAAGCAACGGCUAACUCCGUG
rnacentral:rRNA from 1 species